ACAGUGGACGCGAGCAUCUGUGGCCAAGUUUUUAAGGGCGCACGGUGGAUGCCUUGGCACCAGGAACCGAUGAAGGACGUGGGAGGCCACGAUAGGCCCCGGGGAGUCGUCAACCAGGCUUUGAUCCGGGGGUGUCCGAAUGGGGAAACCCGGCAGUCGUCAUGGGCUGUCACCCUUGCCUGAACACAUAGGGCAAGUGGAGGGAACGCGGGGAAGUGAAACAUCUCAGUACCCGCAGGAAGAGAAAACAACCGUGAUUCCGGGAGUAGUGGCGAGCGAAACCGGAUGAGGCCAAACCGUAUGCGUGUGAGACCCGGCAGGGGUUGCGCAUUCGGGGUUGUGGGAUCUCUCUUUCAUGGUCUGCCGGCCAUGAGACGAGUCAGAAACCGUUGAUGUAGGCGAAGGACAUGCGAAAGGUCCGGCGUAGAGGGUAAGACCCCCGUAGUCGAAACGUCAGCGGCUCGUUUGAGAGACACCCAAGUAGCACGGGGCCCGAGAAAUCCCGUGUGAAUCUGGCGGGACCACCCGCUAAGCCUAAAUAUUCCCUGGUGACCGAUAGCGGAUAGUACCGUGAGGGAAUGGUGAAAAGUACCGCGGGAGCGGAGUGAAAUAGUACCUGAAACCGUGUGCCUACAAGCCGUGGGAGCGUCGCGCAAGGACUUGUCCUUGCGUCGUGACUGCGUGCCUUUUGAAGAAUGAGCCUGCGAGUUUGCGGUGUGUUGCGAGGUUAACCCGGGUGGGGAAGCCGUAGCGAAAGCGAGUCCGAACAGGGCGUUUCAGUAGCACGCUCAAGACCCGAAGCGGAGUGAUCUAGCCAUGGGCAGGUUGAAGCGGAGGUAAGACUUCGUGGAGGACCGAACCCACCAGGGUUGAAAACCUGGGGGAUGACCUGUGGUUAGGGGUGAAAGGCCAAUCAAACUCCGUGAUAGCUGGUUCUCCCCGAAAUGCAUUUAGGUGCAGCGUCGUGUGUUUCUUGCCGGAGGUAGAGCACUGGAUAGGCGAUGGGCCCUACCGGGUUACUGACCUUAGCCAAACUCCGAAUGCCGGUAAGUGAGAGCGCGGCAGUGAGACUGUGGGGGAUAAGCUCCAUGGUCGAGAGGGAAACAGCCCAGAGCAUCGACUAAGGCCCCUAAGCGUACGCUAAGUGGGAAAGGAUGUGGAGUCGCACAGACAACCAGGAGGUUGGCUUAGAAGCAGCCACCCUUGAAAGAGUGCGUAAUAGCUCACUGGUCUAGUGAUUCCGCGCCGACAAUGUAGCGGGGCUCAAGCGUACCGCCGAAGUCGUGUCAUUGCAGCAGAUAGCCCCAACGGGUGCUGUGAUGGGUAGGGGAGCGUCGUCUGCCGGGUGAAGCAGCCGCGGAAGCGAGUUGUGGACGGUUGACGAGUGAGAAUGCAGGCAUGAGUAGCGAUUCACACGUGAGAAACGUGUGCGCCGAUUGACUAAGGGUUCCUGGGUCAAGCUGAUCUGCCCAGGGUAAGUCGGGACCUAAGGCGAGGCCGACAGGCGUAGUCGAUGGAUAACCGGUUGAUAUUCCGGUACCCGCUGUGAAGCGUCAAACAUCGAAUCCAGUGAUGCUAAGCCCGUGAAGCCGCCGGCUGAGUCUUCGGACGAGGUCGGAGUGGUGGAGCCGGUGACCCGAGCUGGUAGUAGGUGAGUGAUGGGGUGACGCAGGAAGGUAGUCCAUCCCGGGCGGUGGUUGUCCCGGGGUAAGGGUGUAGGACGUCAGGUAGGCAAAUCCGCCUGGCAUGUGUCUGAGACCUGAUGCCGAGCCGAUUGUGGUGAAGUGGAUGAUCCUAUGCUGUCGAGAAAAGCCUCUAGCGAGUUUCAUGGCGGCCCGUACCCUAAACCGACUCAGGUGGUCAGGUAGAGAAUACCGAGGCGUUCGGGUGAACUAUGGUUAAGGAACUCGGCAAAAUGCCCCCGUAACUUCGGGAGAAGGGGGGCCACAUCCGGUGAUGAGCUUCGCGCUCUGAGCUGGGGGUGGCCGCAGAGACCAGCGAGAAGCGACUGUUUACUAAAAACACAGGUCCGUGCGAAGCCGUAAGGCGAUGUAUACGGACUGACGCCUGCCCGGUGCUGGAACGUUAAGGGGACCGGUUAGCUUGGAUUCGUCCAGGCGAAGCUGAGAACUUAAGCGCCAGUAAACGGCGGUGGUAACUAUAACCAUCCUAAGGUAGCGAAAUUCCUUGUCGGGUAAGUUCCGACCUGCACGAAUGGCGUAACGACUUCUCGACUGUCUCAACCAUAGGCCCGGUGAAAUUGCACUACGAGUAAAGAUGCUCGUUUCGCGCAGCAGGACGGAAAGACCCCGGGACCUUUACUACAGUUUGAUAUUGGUGUUCGGUUCGGCUUGUGUAGGAUAGCUGGGAGACUGUGAACAUCGGACGCCAGUUCGGUGGGAGUCGUCGUUGAAAUACCAGUCUGGUCGUGCUGGAUGUCUAACCUGGGUCCGUGAUCCGGAUCAGGGACAGUGUCUGAUGGGUAGUUUAACUGGGGCGGUUGCCUCCUAAAGGGUAACGGAGGCGCCCAAAGGUUCCCUCAGCCUGGUUGGCAAUCAGGUGUUGAGUGUAAGUGCACAAGGGAGCUUGACUGUGAGACCGACGGGUCGAGCAGGGACGAAAGUCGGGACUAGUGAUCCGGCGGUGGCUUGUGGAAGCGCCGUCGCUCAACGGAUAAAAGGUACCCCGGGGAUAACAGGCUGAUCUUCCCCAAGAGUCCAUAUCGACGGGAUGGUUUGGCACCUCGAUGUCGGCUCGUCGCAUCCUGGGGCUGGAGUCGGUCCCAAGGGUUGGGCUGUUCGCCCAUUAAAGCGGUACGCGAGCUGGGUUUAGAACGUCGUGAGACAGUUCGGUCCCUAUCCGCUGUGCGCGUAGGAGUCUUGAGAAGGGCUGUCCCUAGUACGAGAGGACCGGGACGGACGAACCUCUGGUGUGCCAGUUGUUCUGCCAAGGGCAUGGCUGGUUGGCUACGUUCGGGAGGGAUAACCGCUGAAAGCAUCUAAGCGGGAAGCCUGCUUCGAGAUGAGGACUCCCACCUCCUGGAGAGGGUAAGGCUCCCAGUAGACGACUGGGUUGAUAGGCCGGAUAUGGAAGCACGGUAACGUGUGGAGUUGACCGGUACUAAUAGGCCGAGGGCUUGUCCUCAGUUG
rnacentral:rRNA from 1 species